UGAUGAGUUGAAGACAAUGUUGGUGUCAAAGAUUGUGAAUGUUAUAGGAAUGAUUCUGCUGUUUUCAAUCAUCCAAAAUUUGUUUAUCUGUCUGUGAUUUCGUUUCAACUAGUGAGGUUACUAUUUAUCGCAGACAUUGAAUUCUGUAUAAAAUCUUUGUUUCGCAGAACUUUUGGUAUCACAUCACAUAUCAACAAGAUAGAACUGUCAAAUUAUCAACAAGAUAGAAAGAGUAACAGUGAGGGAUGUGAACAAAAUCGAACUUUCUUUGAUAAAUUGAUGCUCGAAACAGCUUUAAAGAUCCUUGUCGAUCCUUUCAUUAGCCCAUGUCUGUGGCUUUUGCUGUUAUCCAAAUUCAUUUCUGUCUUCCAUUAUUAGGAUUCACCAGGUCAUAGAAACUCACACAAGAACUUUUCUUACCAACCCAACUCUUCAACUCUAACAAGUUAGACUUACUGAGUUGCCAAACGCAUC
rnacentral:lncRNA from 1 species